GGUCAUAUAGAUAAAACCAAACCGCAUAAAAUACAUAAAGUAUAUAAAAAGAAAAAACAUCGAAAUAAACCAGACAAAACCUAUAAGUCUUUUCCAACUAAGCAGAAAAAAUAUAAGAAAUUCACAAAACGAUUUGCUUCUAAACUAUCUCAAAAUAAGAAAAAAUUACCUGUUUGCUAUAAAUGUGGUAAAAUAGGCCAUUAUAAAAGCCAAUGCAAAGUUAAACAAAAAUUAGACUCUAUUACUUUAGAUGAAUCCAUCAGAAAUAAAAUCUAUGAUAUUAGUCAAUUAUAUGAUUCAUCAGAUAGUUCAGAAUCAGAUACUACUUCUUCUAGUAGUGAUACUUCUUUCAUAGGCACAAUACAUAAUGAUGACUUUUACUGGUCAGAUAAUAGCUCGG
rnacentral:lncRNA from 1 species